UUAAUUGAAGCCAAAAAGAGGCGUAUCACUGUUAAUGAUAUAACUGAGAAUUGUCUCCAAUUAAG
rnacentral:tRNA from 1 species